GGGAAUUAGGUGUCGUAUACUAAAAGGUGCGGAUAUGUGGUGCGAAAUAGUUCAUGUGGCAUGAACUAAUCAUAAACAUUAAAAGCUUGAUCUAUGUAUCAGCCGAGUGCCAUGGAAUUGUCGGAGCUUGUAUCACCAUGUAGAACUAAUUGGAGAAGUUAAAGCCGCUGCUCCUCCAACAUUCCCCACAUUUCCUUGAUACUUCAAUCUAAACAGUCUCUAAAGGAGUUACACAUUCAAGGUGAGUGACAGUAAAAAUUGACACCCAGACUCCCAACUUAUGAUGUUCCUCUAGUUCUGA
rnacentral:lncRNA from 1 species